GUGCUCAGUACAGUGCUCUGCACACAGCAAAUAAUAAAUACCAUUGAUUGAUUAAAAACAAUACUAUAGAUAACAGCAAUAAGAAAAUGUGUAAGCAUGUGACAAUGGUUCUUAAAGAUUUUUAUCUAACUGGAGGAUAAUGUGACACUGCAAAGCAAUAAAUCUAGACAAACAUUCAGUAUAAGAUUUGUUUUUGUCCAAAUGCUGCUGACUUUUUACUUACGGAUGCAUGUAUUUCGAGGGUCGGGAGGAAGGAGUUGAUUCUCCUCUUGGCUCAUUCUUGGAUUCUAGCUAUAAGGGAGGUCUUAUUUGCUGUAACAUUGGGCUCCAUAUUAAAGGCUUGGCAACAUACAACACAAGCAUGUGCCACAUUCCCAAGGUUCUUAUUAUAAUAGAGGAAACAGAUAUGAAAACAUUUACUAAUGGGAUAAGUAAUCAGAACAAAUAAUUUGCACAUAUGAGCAUAGAGAUACUGAGAGAGGGUGGGCAUAAAUACACUCUACAAGUGCUAUGGAUGGCUAACUGUUCUGAAAACCAAAUAUAAAUUUGAAAAAAAGAAAAUAUUCUGUAGUCGAGCAAAUCCAACCUUAAUGCUAAAGAAACAUACAAAUGUCCUGUGCAGUUAAAGCUCCUCGUGGUACUUAUUCUAUAAUUUAACUAAGAGGAGUCCUGGUAAGUUUACAAAACUUCAGGGAGAGAAUGGUAAAAAGGGAUGGUUCUCGUACUGAAUGUAAUAGGUAUAAAGGCCCUAUAAUUCAUUUAUAAAGGAUUAGAAGGUAUCUUGAUUUAACCUUGUUGCUUUUAAAGUGUUUUGGUCAUUUUCAUACAAAAUAAUUGAUCCUCUGGUUUCUCUGUCCUUGUCCCAAUCAUCCCAAAGUCACAGGAAUAUCCAGGAGGCUGCUCAUUACUUGCAGGAAGCUUUAGAAUGUAACUUAGAGUGACUUGAUUCUGAAAAUUUCUCUAGUCUAAUGCAGCAGGCCUACUCAUCCAGCUACUCAGAAGGGGUGGAGAGAAGCCAGCUCCCUAUGGAUAAAACAUCAUCAUGGUCCAAACUUGAGGAAGUCACUGCCGUAGAUUUUGCGCACUGAUCAAAAUGCCACAGUUACCACCAGGUUCUCAAGAAAAACAGAAAAGUUGUCUGAGACAUCCUCUUGCUGAAAAUCUUCAGGACUGGAUGGAAACUCAUCUGUCGUUCACAAUGGGAGACCGCAUUAUCAUCAAUCAGAUGAAUCAGACUGCAUUAUCUUGGGCGUUCCUCUGACUGUUUGGGAAGAGCGUGGAACCUAGAGUGUCAGACAUGCCUUAGGAGGGAACAGCAGAACCAGUGUGUUACCUCUCCUCAGGGAGCUUUGAAUUCACCAGACCCAACCCUGUUUGAGCGUUCCAAAAAUUAUGCAGCAAAGUGGGACGAUGAUGCAAGUAAAUAUACUUUUAAGGUUGGCUGUUGACAUGACUUGGAUAAUCUUCCUGGAGGAGGUGGGAUUU